rnacentral:lncRNA from 14 species
GCCUUUAAAUACCACUCCUGGAGGCGGCACAGCAGCAGGGCAGAGCCGGCAGAGCUUCGAUGAAAGCAAAGACAAGCUCCAGCACUGCAGCCAUGUCCACAUCCCUGCGGGUGAGCCCCUCGGUCCAUGGGUACCGCUUCGACACCGCGCUGCGCAAGAAAGCCGCGGCCAACAUCUUCGAGAGCAUCAACGAGGCGUCCCUGCAGAAACUCUUCAAAAACUCCGGCGACAAAAAGGCGGAGGAGAGAGCCAAGAUAAUCUUCGCCACCGACCAGGACAUGGAGGAAAAAACGAGAGCGCUGAUGGCACUAAAGCAGAGGAGGAAAGACAAACUGCUGCAGUUCCUGACGUUUCGGAAAUACUCCAUUAAAGUUCACUGAGCUGGCAGAUGGAGAAGGUUUUGUGGCGGGACUGUUUGAGAGCUCCUAGCACGCUCAGCAUGCUCGGCUGCCCCGUGGGCCUGGGGAGCUGAGAGUCCAUGCAGGGGGCUUCAGCCCCACUGGAAACCAUGAGCCAACAGCAGCAUCACUGCGGGCAGCAGCAUUGGUGCCCAGGGCAGCACUGGUGUGACCAGCAGCACUGGUGUGACCAGCAGCAUCAGUGCCCAUGGCACAUUGGUGUGGACAGCAGCAUCAGUGCCCAUGGCAGCACUGGUGUGACCAGCAGCACUGGUGUGACCAGCAGGACCAGUGGCCACAGCAGCUCUGGUGUGACCAGCAGCUCUGGUGUGGCCAGCAGGACCAGUGCCCACACACAUCAGUGUGGACAGCAGCCUGGUGGCCAGAGGCUCUCAGAGAGAGAGAGCAGCUCCCAGCUGGAGGCAGAUUUGCUCCUCUGCGCAGCCAUGGGACUGAGCUGGGGGGAACCCCCACACCCAGGACCUCCUGAUGGACUUGGUGCUCACAGAUGUGAGCCGGGUGCUUUGCCUCUUCAGCCUGAGCCCCGCUGCUGGGGCUGGUGGGGGGCUCUGGAGCCCUCCCAGCUGCUGGUCAGGGUCAGAAUCUGUGAAAUGCCCCCAAAGGCAGCGUGUGGUGCAGCGAGUUCAGCCGUCCGGGAACGCAUUAACUCUGCACAGCUGUGCCUUUCCUUGCCAAGCUCUGUGUGUGCAGGAAAAGUCGUUUGCACAGAAGCAAUAAUAAUGACAGAUUUCCCUGAAUUUACUGUGAAGUUCCCUAAUAUUAUGUUCACUUACCACUAACACUAAAAAUCUAAAUAUAAUAACUACAGUUCUUCUCUGUGUAGGUGACAGCCACUAUUAGAUGAGUACUUACUUCAUGGCAAUAUUUUAUGACAAUGUUAAUAUUAUAUUGGCUAUAAUUUAUUGCAUACAGUGAUGUGAAAACUAAUAAAUUAUGAAGUAAAUCUAAAUUACCUUGUCUGAAAUGCUCAGUUCUCC